rnacentral:pre_miRNA from 1 species
ACAGGAAUCCCACGGGGAUCAUGUUAGAAUGCAGAUUCUGACUCAGUGGGCUCGAGGUGAGGCCGAGAUUCUGCAUUUCUGACUUGCUCUCAGGGGUUGCCAUG